rnacentral:rRNA from 1 species
CAGAGGGUGCGAGCGUUAAUCGGAGUUACUGGGCGUAAAGGGCGCGUAGGCGGUGAUAUGUGUGCGAUGUGAAAGCCCCGGGCUUAACCUGGGAAGCGCAUCGUAAACGGUAUGACUGGAGUAUAUGAGAGGGUGUCGGAAUUUCCGGUGUAGCGGUGAAAUGCGUAGAGAUCGGAAGGAACGUCGAUGGCGAAGGCAGGCACCUGGCAUAAUACUGACGCUGAUGCGCGAAAGCGUGGGGAGCGAACAGGAUUAGAUACCCUGGUAGUCCACGCUGUAAACGAUGAGAACUAGAUGUUUGUUGGGGAACCAAUGAGUAUCGAAGCUAACGCGAUAAGUUCUCCGCCUGGGAAGUACGGCCGCAAGGUUG